GAGAUGUUGAAAAUGGUGGGCCCUUUGACACCUCCUUCGCAAAUCGAUAGAUAAAUCUAGUUGUCUUUAAAGUAUGAGGAACUUUGACACACAUAAUAAAUUAUGGUUUAUUGAAAGCAAUGGAUUUUGUCAAUACAUCAAACGUUUUUGAGCUUCCAAGUUAUCAGAGGCGAUUGCGCCAUUUGAAGCUGGUCGCUGUACGAAAUUUGAAAUGCCAAUUUCAAUCGGGAAAAGAACUGAGCGAUCUAGAGACAUUUUUCUGUCUCCACAAGGACAGAGAUAGCAAAGAGUUCUACCAAAGUGAAAGAAUUACAGCAUCUCUGAAUCCUUCCUGGCAGAGCUUCGAUAUUAGCAGAUAUGAGGACAAAAUUAACACCACUAGUCAAUCUCUGCUGGUACGAGUCUGGGUAAAGAACAAGACAAGUACCCGCCUCCUCCUGGACUGGAUGGUGGAGCUAAACGCCCUGGAAUAUCUCGCAGACAAGCUCCAGCAGGAUAAAGGCAUUAAGUAUGCUCCAAACACUCUCAUCUUUGGAAUGUUUGAUCAAUUCUUCAGAGCCCCUGAAGUGAAGCCUGUGGGAGUGGGUGUUGGAGACCCAGGAGUUGAGGCAGAAGAUGAUAAAUCCAGUAAGUCACAAUCUGUGAGCACACAGUGCUUCCUCAAGGUGGAAAUAGCCAGCACCAAGAAGUCUUACACAGCCAGUUCUUUGUCCAGAAUAUACACCGUCUUAAGAGCAAUCAAGCAAACUCAAGCCUCGGUACAUAAAGUUCGAAGGUCAAUUGAGGACAAAUUAUUGUCCUCACAAGAGACAACAAGGAAAAGGGCAGAGCAUGAGGACCUGCUCCUCAAGAGGGAACAACUGUGUGCAGAAGUGACGUGGAGGACAGCCUCCGUCAACAAGAUGAAGGACCAGGCAGAUCAACUCCACAGGUCCAACCAAGAACAAGAAACAGCAAUGAAAAAGAAUAAAGAGAAAUUGGAAGAGAAACAGAGAGAACAGGCAGAAAAGAAGAAGGAUUAUGACCAAACAAGAGAAAAGCUAAUUAAAGAGAGUGCUCAACUUUUCAUCAGAAGGAAACAGCUGAUCCGUGAAUUAGCCACCUACAUUUAUCCAAUUACUGAGAAAAAAGGUCUAUAUUACAUUGCGAAUGUGUACUUGCCUAAUUCAGAAGAUUUCCAAGGCAAAGAUGACAACAUGAUAGGAGUUUCCCUGGGCUACACCUGUCAUCUGUUGUUGAUGAUUUCUGGUAUUCUGGACAUUCCACUCCGGUACAGCAUGACUCAUCUAGUGUCCAAAUCAGUCAUCCGUGACGACAUCCACAGCAGACUGGAAGACAAAGAAAGGGACUUCCCUUUAUAUUCCAAGGGCAAGGAACAAAAUUUAUUCCGAUAUGGAGUGUUCACCCUGAACAAAAAUAUCAGUCAGAUGCGGUUUUAUUUGGGGAUGGGAACGGUGGACCUGAGAACCACUCUGAUGAAUAUAAAGACGUUGCUGGAGAAUAGACUAGGCUUGAAACCAGAGAGUCAGACUGCACAACUUCGUCCAGCGAGUGAACCGGUGAUGACAAUUUCUUCAAAAUUUCAAACCCUGUGUCGGAGAGAUUGGCAGAUUUUGAGAGUGAAAUCAAUGGAUGUGCACAGGACACAGUGAAUUUUCAUAAGCCUUCGGACAAUCGCCGGCAGACUUGUUGGAACGGUGUAGGAAGCAAUGACUUUAAUGCUGGUGAUCAGCCUGAGGAGGACCAUAUAUAUGAAACUGUUAAUGUCAGAAAGACAGCCAGUGAAAGUUUAGAUAAAUCACAGAGUCCAUCAAAUAUUCUAUCAUCCUGAUGAGUGCUGAAUGUUAGAUGUGUGAAAAUUAUAUACCUACUGUAUACUCGAUGAUGAACUUACUCCUUUGGCCUCAACCCGCAAGUCUUUGCUUACUCAAAAAAGACACGUGAUUUUAAAUCUGAAAACUGACAGGAAUGAUUUCAAAACAUGUCCAAAUUGCUUUUCAGUGGAAAAACAAUUGGGUGAAUUCAUCCUUGUAUACAGUAAUUGUUUAUUUGAAGAAUCAAAUUGUGCAAUAUAGUUAUUAAAUAUUGAAAUAAUUAAAG
rnacentral:misc_RNA from 1 species